rnacentral:rRNA from 1 species
AGAUUGAACGCUGGCGGCAGGCCUAACACAUGCAAGUCGAGCGGCAGCACGGGUACUUGUACCUGGUGGCGAGCGGCGGACGGGUGAGUAAUGCCUAGGAAUCUGCCUGGUAGUGGGGGAUAACGCUCGGAAACGGACGCUAAUACCGCAUACGUCCUACGGGAGAAAGCAGGGGACCUUCGGGCCUUGCGCUAUCAGAUGAGCCUAGGUCGGAUUAGCUAGUUGGUGAGGUAAGUGGACUCACCAAGGCGACGAUCCGUAACGUGGUCUGAGAGGAUCGGAUCAGUCCAC